rnacentral:rRNA from 1 species
AGAGUUUGAUCCUGGCUCAGGACGAACGCUGGCGGCGUGCCUAACACAUGCAAGUCGAGCGAGGUGUAUACACCUAGCGGCGGACGGGUGAGUAACACGUGGGUAACCUGCCUCAGAGAGGGGAAUAGCCUUCCGAAAGGAAGAUUAAUACCGCAUAAUAUACGCAUUUAGCAUUAUGAGCGUAUCAAAGGAGAAAUCCGCUUUGAGAUGGGCCCGCGGCGCAUUAGCUAGUUGGAGAGGUAACGGCUCACCAAGGCGACGAUGCGUAGCCGACCUGAGAGGGUGAUCGGCCACAUUGGAACUGAGACACGGUCCAGACUCCUACGGGAGGCAGCAGUGGGGAAUAUUGCACAAUGGGGGAAACCCUGAUGCAGCAACGCCGCGUGAAUGAUGAAGGCCUUCGGGUCGUAAAGUUCUUUGAUUGGGGACGAUAAUGACGGUACCCAAAAAACAAGCCACGGCUAACUACGUGCCAGCAGCCGCGGUAAUACGUAGGUGGCGAGCGUUGUCCGGAUUUACUGGGCGUAAAGGAUGCGUAGGUGGAAACUUAAGUGGGAUGUGAAAUCCCCGGGCUCAACCCGGGAACUGCAUUCCAAACUGGGUUACUUGAGUGCAGGAGAGGAAAGCGGAAUUCCUAGUGUAGCGGUGAAAUGCGUAGAUAUUAGGAAGAACACCAGUGGCGAAGGCGGCUUUCUGGACUGUAACUGACACUGAGGCAUGAAAGCGUGGGGAGCAAACAGGAUUAGAUACCCCGGUAGU